GACGAACGCUGGCGGCGUGCCUAAUACAUGCAAGUAGAACGCUGAAGGAGGAGCUUGCUUCUCUGGAUGAGUUGCGAACGGGUGAGUAACGCGUAGGUAACCUGCCUGGUAGCGGGGGAUAACUAUUGGAAACGAUAGCUAAUACCGCAUAAUAGUAGAUGUUGCAUGACAUUUGCUUAAAAGGUGCAAUUGCAUCACUACCAGAUGGACCUGCGUUGUAUUAGCUAGUUGGUGGGGUAACGGCUCACCAAGGCGACGAUACAUAGCCGACCUGGGAGGGGGGACGGCCACACUGGGACUGGGAAACGGCCCAGACUCCUACGGGAGGGAGCAGGAGGGGAACUUCGGCAAUGGACGGAAGGCUGACCGGGCAACGCCGCGGGGGGGAAGGAGGGUUUCGGAUCGUAAAACUCGGUUGUAAGGGAAGAACGAGUGUGAGAGUGAAAAGUUCACACUGUGACGGUAUCUUACCAGAAAGGGACGGCUAACUACGUG
rnacentral:rRNA from 1 species